GCAAUGCGCCUUUGCAACAGAGAGGAGAUCUGCUCAUCCCACAUUUGGAGCACCCGUGGGAGUGGAGCAGGGAAGAUUUCUGGGAAACAGUGUGUGAAUUAAAUCACGAAAAUGAGUAGGAGUCUGCUACAUGAGUAAGGGAGGGAAGAAAAGUCAGUAGAGAAGGUAGGCAGUGCUUGCAAAGGCCUGAGCACUGCCAGAAUGGACUAAUACACUAUGUGAAGACAAAGGGGAUGUCUGCAAGCCAGGACGAGUGCGUCUACCAGCAACUGAGUUCUGCUGGACUUUGAUCUAGGACACCCAGCCUCCAGAAUGGAAUGUGCCAUAUAUGGAGACCUGCAUGGAAAGGAACUGAGGAUGCUCUCUGACUAAAAGCUAGAAGGAACUGAGACCCUCAGUCAACAGUCUACAAGACACUGAAUCUUGCCAGCAGCCAUACAGUGAGCUUGAAAGCAGAUCUAUCCUCAGCUGAACCUUCAGAUGAGACCGCAGCCUAAGCAGACACCUUGGUCGCAGCCAUGUGAGACAACCUGAAACAGAGGGCACAGCUAAGCCUCAGCCAGGAUCAUCACCCUCUGAGGAAACUGUGAGAAAGCAAAUGUCAUUUUAGGCUAUUUAAUUUUGGAGGUAGUUUGUUACACAACAAUAAAUAACUAUUAUAAUUAUCUUGAGGAUUUCCUGGGGAGAAUAAAUGGAAUUGCAUAUAUAGGUCAUCAUAUGCAGAAUACUGGUACCUCAGAGAUGUUCACCCCAGAGAUGUUGUAGGAACCUGUGAAUAUAUUACCUUACAUGGCAAAGUUUUCCUGGAUGGUUUAAGUUUAAGAUGGAAAAGUUUAACUGGAUUAUCCCGUGGGUCCAAUCUAAUAACAAGAGUCCUUAAAAAUGGAGAAUAUUUUUUGGUCAUGAUCAGAGAGACAUGUGAUGAUGGAAGAAGUGUCAGAGAUGCAAUGUGAGCGGACUAAAACUGCUGUUGCUGACUUUAAAGAUGGAGAGAGGGGAACCCGAGUCAAGGAAUGCAAAUGGCCUCUGGAAGCUGGAAAAGGCAAGAAACGGAUUCUCCUUUAGAGCCUCUGGAAAAAAAUGCAGUUAUGCUGACACCUUGAUUUUACCUCAGUGAGACCAAUAAUGGAGUAUGACCUUCGGAGCUGAAUAAAAUUAUACAUACACAUCUUAAUUUCUUGGAAUUUGAUUACUUCUUCUGCUUUGAAAUUAGACCAAGUUUAGCCUGCCUUUGCUAUUUUGGCAUAUCUCCAAUUCUUCGUGAUUUUCUCAUCGCAAAGGCCACAUAAGGACAGUAAGAAGGCAGUCAUCUGCAAGCCAGGAAGAAAGGUCUCACCAGAUACCAACCCUGCCAGCAAGUUGAUCUUGGACUUCCAGCCUCCAAAACUGGCCUUCUACUCACAUGGGCUUCCGUGCACCUGCUUCAGGAGACAGCAACACUUGCGCCCGCACUGCGGCAGGCUCCCAUCACCUGGUGGAUAUGCCGUGCUGAGUCUCAUCACACCUUAGUGAAGGAACACAUGGACCCAUAUGUUAGCGGAUGUGUUUACAUCAUUUUAUACAGAAAGGGGAAAUGGAGUCUUGUUCUGUCACACAUGCUAGAGUCCAGUGGUAUGACCUCGGCUCACUGCAACCUCUGCCUCCCGGGUUCAAAUGAUUCUCCUGCCUCAACCUCCCUGGCAGCUGAGACUACAGGCUUGCACCACCACUCCUGGCUAAUUUUUUUAUUUUUAUUUUUUUAGUACAGAUGGGGUUUCACCAUGUUGGCCAGGCUGGUCUCGAACUCCUGACCUCAAAUGAUCUGCCUGCCUCGGCCUUCCAAAGUGCUGGGAUUACAGGAGUGAGCCACCAUGCCCAGCCUGUUCUUAAGUCUCCUAGAACAGAGAUUCUGAAACACAAAAUUCAUCUGGCAAAGAGUUCUAAGAUGCAUUUCACAACACUCCACAGAAGGAAGGUUGAGAGACAAUCAUCUGCACCAGUGCCCAACUUAAAAACAUCCUUGUAUCAGUUUUCCCUUAUUUCCUGUUCUCCUCCCUAAACCUUCAGUCCUGUUCCUGGCAAUCACUUCCAGAAUAAACCAUAUGCAUGCCUCAGAUUCUGAUCUCAGAGGAUCCCAGACUAAGACAGAGAUACACUAUGCUGAUUGCUUAACCUGCAUUUUCUCAUUUAAUUGAAAUGUAUACGUGGUAAGGUAUUUAUUCAUAUCUGCAUGAUUUUGUAGAGAAAUCUUAGAUAAAUUAACACUUUUCAGAAGGCAAUUAAAGUAACACAGCAAGCAAUUGAUAAAACCUGGAUUCGCCAAGUUAAACUGGUCUGGUUGCAAAACCUGUAUUGUUUCCUAACAUACCACCUAAAUUCUCAAAUGGUAUUGGAACGAGUUAAAUGAGAUUAUAAAUGUAAAAUUCUUGGUAUAGUUAAUUCUCAAAAAUAGGCCUUCAAUCUAUAGAAUCCAUUUGUAGAACUAUCUUCAGGAAGGAAAAAUACAACACCCUCCUCCACCCCACCCUCAAAGAAACAUGGAAAAUUUAAACUGAGACUUCAAAUCUUGAGCUCUGCACAUCUUAGAAUAUUUUGUUUCUAUGAAAAAGAAGCUUUGGAGAAUGUGUAUCAGUCGGAAACACUGUAGAGUGAGCACAGAAAUCAGCCCAUCACAUUAUGCCCCAAAUGCUAAAGUACUGCUGAAUCUGAUUGCCCUGCAUUUUUAAGUGCUGCAAAAUUCUGGGACUUGGGAUCAUCUGUCACUACAGACUUGUCACAUUCUGCUGAAAUAAAACAUAUAGUCUAAUUUGCAAAGUUCUCGUGUGGAAAGAGUCCUAAAAUGUAUAUAACCUCUGUCCCAGCAAUUCCAUUAGGAAUUUAUCCAAUCCAAAAUCUAAAAUGCAGAAGGUCUACAUAUUGAAUGCUUAUGGCAGCAUUCUUUAAAAUUAUGAAAAUUGAAAGCAACCAAAAUCUUCAAAAACAGACUAAUGGCUAAGUAGUAUAACCCAUACUAUGAAAUGUGGUAAUUGAAUAUUCAAAAUUUGUUUUGUAUAAAAAUAUUAUUCAUGGUAUAACAUUUGGCUAUAAAAUAGAAUGAAUUCAAUUGUAUUUUUUAAACCAGUACCUCUGCAUAUUUGUGAACCUAAAAGAUAAGAUGGUAAAUAUUUAACUGUAUUUUUCUUUAAUUGUUGGGGCUGUGAAUUAUUUUAAUUUUCUUAAUACUUUUUAAUCUUCUCUGAAAAUUUUAUAAUAAUCUCUA
rnacentral:lncRNA from 1 species